rnacentral:rRNA from 1 species
AUGCCGCCGCCGGGCUCCUGGUUCUACAAGCUGCGGCGCAAGCCAGGAGGCGACGCCGGCGAGGUCCCGAGAGGCGAUCGUGCUCCGGCGGUGGUGACGACGCCCUCCUCGUCGUCGGCGUCGUCGCGGGGGGUGCCCGUGCCGCCUCCGUGCACCCCGAACAGGGCGUCCUACUACGUCCCCAGCGGCGAGCGUGGAGCUGUCAAGGGGAUUCCGAUUCCGCCCAAGCGCCGGGACACGCAGUUGCCGCGCAGCCCGCAGCCGAGCGACAUCGUCUUCGACGUGGUCACCGUGCCGCGCGCCGCGGCCGACCGGUUCGACGGGCUCGGGGCGAUGCCGGAGCUCAAGUUGCGGCCCAUCCUCACCAAACCGGCCGGCAGGAAGGUGGACGGGGAGGAGGAGGGGGCAUCGGGCAGCGGCAGCGCGUCGCCGACGGCCAGGGCGCGGCGGCGGCGACGGCCGCGGAUACACGUGAAGCCGAGCGGCGGGCGGAAGGGGGGGAGGCCGGCGGACGCGCAGCCCCCGGCGACGGCGACCGCCAAGCCGCGGAGGCGACAAGCGAGGCGGGGGCGGUGGCUGCAGGAGAGCCUGGUGGUGGUGAAGGAGUCAGCGGACCCGGAGGAGGACUUCCUGGCGAGCAUGGCGGAGAUGAUCGCGGCCAACGACGAGGUCCGCGCGUCGCCCCGGGGCCUCGAGGAGCUGCUCGCGUGCUACCUCGCCCUCAACGCCGCCGAGCACCACCGCGCCAUCGUCGCCGCCUUCCGGCGCGCCUGGCUCGACGACGCGCCCACCAGCACCGCCAAGCACAGGCCGCCGCCGUCGCAGGGCCUAGCUAGCUAA